GACGAACGCUGGCGGCGUGCCUAAUACAUGCAAGUUGAGCGAUGAAGAUUGGUGCUUGCACCAAUUUGAAGAGCAGCGAACGGGUGAGUAACGCGUGGGGAAUCUGCCUUUGAGCGGGGGACAACAUUUGGAAACGAAUGCUAAUACCGCAUAACAACUUUAAACAUAAGUUUUAAGUUUGAAAGAUGCAAUUGCAUCACUCAAAGAUGAUCCCGCGUUGUAUUAGCUAGUUGGUGAGGUAAAGGCUCACCAAGGCGAUGAUACAUAGCCGACCUGAGAGGGUGAUCGGCCAGAUUGGGACUGGGACCCGGCCCAAACUCCUACGGGAGGCAGCAGUAGGGAAUCUUCGGCGAUGGACGAAAGUCUGACCGAGCAACGCCGCGUGAGUGAAGAAGGUUUUCGGAUCGUAAAACUCUGUUGGUAGAGAAGAACGUUGGUGAGAGUGGAAAGCUCAUCAAGUGACGGUAACUACCCAGAAAGGGACGGCUAACUACGUG
rnacentral:rRNA from 1 species